GUCAGGUUGACCGAGUGGUCAAAGGCGUCGGAUUUAAGCUCCGAUACCCGAAAGGGUGCGAGGGUUCGAACCCCUCACCUGACA